AUUAAGGCAGAGGACAUUCAAAAGAGAUAGGCAGGUGCAGUAGGUACAGACGUGACCACCAUGAGACCUUCCUGAGAUGGCAGGAAGGAGCCCAGUCCCAGAGUGGAUUUGGAUUGAUCACUGCACAUGUGCCCCAACCAACAGUGAGGGGGUCCCACAAGCCCAAGUGGGGGAAGUUAGGGAUCUAAGGCAGGAGCAGGAAAACCAGACAAAGAAAACAGGUGGAGACUUGAGACAGAGGCAUGAAUGUGAAGAAGCCCAAAAUAAAAUUUCCUGCACAGGACUCUUGGCCUGUUUUCCUGCACAAUCAGCCCACUCCUCCCUUGGGUCCUAUUUUUUUCUACAAUAAGCUGUUUACACUGUAUUUAUUUUCAAUGAAGUUAUCUGCCAUCUUUGUACUGCCUCCUGGUGAAAAUCUUUCUGCCAAGUUAGACAAGAACUGGGACAUCAGCUCUCUCCAGCGAUAGCUCCUUUUGAGUUUGAAUUUCCCAAACUGAUGGCACUGAAUUACUGGUGCUCCAACUUUAAGUGGUGCAGUAAGAGGUCAGUAGGGGGUGCCAGCCUCACACCAGGAGCAAGAGGGCCCUGCAUAGUCCCCCAGAUGCCUGCAGGUGGUGUGCCACCACUACACGGUAAGAAAGAGGGCCGGGCAGUGUCCCCAGCUGCCAGGAAGGUGCGUACAGCAACUACGCUGUGAGCAAGAGGGUCGGGCAGUGUCCCCACCUGCCAGCAGGGGGCGCACGGGCACCACACCAUGAGAAAGAGGACCCUGCUGUGCCCUCGUUGCCAGCAGGGGGCGUGCUGCCACUACACUGUGAGCAAGAGGGUCUGGCAGCGCCCCCAGCGGCCAGAAGGGCCCUGCAGUGUCCCAGCCAAUAGCAUGGGGCACUAGCCACUGCACUGUGAGCAAGAGGGUCUUGCAGUUGUCCUGGUCGCCAACAGGUGGCACAUGGGCACAGCACCAUGAGCAAGCAGGCCCUGCAGUGCCCGGCCGCCAGCAGGGGGUGUCCGAGUUUGCCUUUUCAGAUUCCUGAGGUUCCGCCACCUGCCUGCCUCCCAGAGCCGUGCAUAGCCUAUGCCAGGGUGGAACUGCAUUCUUCUCAGCACAGACUCAGAGGACACCGUGAAGGUGGAGCUGCAUUCUGCUCAUCACAGACCUGGGGGCACUGUGAGGGCAGAGCUGCGUUCUGUGCAGCACAGACCCAGGGGUUACCACGAGGGCAGAGCUGCAUUCUGCUCAGGACAGACCCGGGGGCACGGCAAAGGCAGAGCAGUGUUCUCCCCAGCACAGACACGGAGGACACUGUAAGGGCGGGGCUGCUUUCUUCUCAGCACAGACCAGGAGGGGGACACCAUGAAGGCAGAGCUGCGUUCUCAACACAGACCCUGGGGGCACUAUCUCACUUUGGGACAACUCAGGACCACAUCCAUGGACCCACUCAAGAAGAGGCAAUGGCUUUGGAGCACCUGGUAGUGUGUCCACAGUGAAGACCAGAGUUUCGUUGUCCUCAAGACUGACCUGGGGAGACGUGGCUGCGGGCCAGUGAGGAAGAUGGCACCAAAAGCGAAGAAGGAAGCUCCUGCCCCUCCUAAAGCCAAAGCCAAAGCAAAGGCCAAGAAGGCAGUGUUGAAAUGUGUCCACAGCCCCCCCCAAAAAGAAGAUCUGCACCUCAUCCACCUUCCAGCGUCCCAAGACACUGCGACUCCGGAGGCAGCCCAGAUAUCCUGGGAAGAGCGCCCCCUGGAGAAACAAGCUUGACCACCAUGCUAUCAUCAAGUUUCCAGUGACCACUGAGUCAGCCAUGAAGAAGAUAGACAACAACACGCUUGUGUUCACUGUCGAUGUUAAAGCCAACAAGCACCAGAUCAUACAGACUGUGAAGAAGCUCUGGGACGUGGAUGUGGCCACAGUCAACAUCCUGAUUCGGCCUGAUGGAGAAAAGAAGACAUAUGUUCGAGUGACUCCUGAUUACAAUGCUUUAGAUGUUGCCAACAAACUUGGGAUCAUCUAAACUGAGUCCAGCUGGCUGAUUCUAAAUAGAUGUGUAUCUUUUCACCAUAAA